rnacentral:rRNA from 1 species
GAUGAACGCUGGCGGCGUGCCUAAUACAUGCAAGUCGAGCGAACAGACGAGGAACUUGCUCCUCUGACGUUAGCGGCGGACGUGUGAGUAACACGUGGAUAACCUACCUAUAAGACUGGGCUAACUUCGGGAAACCGGAGCUAAUACCGGAUAAUAUAUUGAACCGCAUGGUUCAAUAGUGAAAGACGGUUUUGCUGUCACUUAUACAUGGAUCCGCGCCGCAUUAGCUAGUUGGUAAGGUAACGGCUUACCAAGGCGACGAUGCGUAGCCGACCUGAGAGGGAGAUAGGCCACACUGGAACUGAGACACGGUCCAGACUCCUACGGGCGGCAGCAGUAGGGAAUCUUCCGCAAUGGGCGAAAGCCUGACGGAGCAACGCCGCGUGAGUGAUGAAGGUCUUCGGUUCGUAAAACUCUGUUAUUAGGGAAGAACAAAUGUGUAAGUAACUAUGAACGUCUUGACGGUACCUAAUCAGAAAGCCACGGCUAACUACGUG